rnacentral:lncRNA from 1 species
ACGCAUGCACAGGCACCUGUGUACACACACGCAGAUACACCCACAGCAUACCAUCUGUGACACACACAGACGUAGGUACAUGGAGACAGAUGCACACACAUGUCUGUGCACACACAUACAUACGCAUGCACAGGCACGUGUGUACACACAUGCAGAUACACCCACAGCAUGCCAUCUGUGACACACACAGACGUAGGUACAUGGAGACACAUGCACACACAGGUCUGUGCACACACAUACGCAUGCACAGGCACCUAUGUACACACAUGCAGAUACACCCACAGCAUCCCAUCUGUGCCACACACAGACAUAGGUACAUGAAGACAGAUGCACACACAGGUCUAUGCACACACGUAUGCAUGCACAGGCACCUGUGUACACACAUGCAGAUGCACCCACAGUAUCCCAUCUGUGCCACACACAGACAUACGUACAUGGAGACAGAUGCACAUACAGGUCUAUGCACACAUGUACACAUGCACAGGCACCUGUGUACACACAUGCAGAUGCACCCGCAGUAUCCCAUCUGUGCCAUACACAGACAUACGUACAUGGAGACAGAUGCACAUACAGGUCUAUGCACACAUGUACACAUGCACAGGCACCUGUGCACACAUAUGCAGAUGCACCCGCAGUAUCCCAUCUGUGCCACACACAGACAUACGUACAUGGAGACAGAUGUACACACAGGUCUAUGCACACAUGUACACAUGCACAGGCACCUGUGUACACACAUGCAGAUGCACCCGCAGUAUCCCAUCUGUGCCACACACAGACAUACGUACAUGGAGACAGAUGCACACACAGGUCUAUGCACACAUGUACACAUGCACAGGCACCUGUGCACACAUAUGCAGAUGCACCCGCAGUAUCGCAUCUGUGCCACACAGACAUACGUACAUGGAGACAGAUGUACAUACAGGUCUAUGCACACAUGUACACAUGCACAGGCACCUGUGCACACAUACAUACAGAUGCACCCGCAACAUCCCGUCUGUGCUGCCCUAUUAGGUUUGUGGCCAUUUGGGGAAUCUUCCUAAAACCCUAAAAGCUAGGGCAGGUCUGCUUGAGCAGGAGCAGCAGGGUCUGGGGGACCCCUGAGGGCAGGACAGUCAGGGACCCACAGUUGAGCUGGGCCCGCUGAGCCCUGGAUCCUUCUUGGUGUCUUAUCCUGGCCAGCAAGCAAGUGUGAGCUCCUGUGGGUCUCCAGAGGCCCAUGAGGACCAGUGGGCCAGUUGGGAACAAGGCUUGGCGUCCUCUUCAGGGGGGAACACCAGGGCAGGCCUGAGGAGGCCUGUGUCCCCAGCCUGUCAUUGCUGUGGCUCCGCUUCUCAGGGAGCCUAGGAAGAAGGUGUGGCAAGAGCCCGAGGCGCUGGCUGCACCUGGCGGGGCCUGUGGGCGUCAGUUUAGACCCAUCCAUUCUCACUGCAGCAUUCCAGGGUUUGCCCUUAUGCUCGGCUGUGUGAGGGUGAGGAUGAUGCUGUGGGGGCAUGCAUGCUGGGUGUGUUUCAGCCUUCUCUUCCACCAGGCAUCCUGACAUCGAGGCCCAGGAGAGAGGAGUCCGGUGUCUACUUGAGAAACAGCUCCCCAAUGGCGACUGGCCGCAGGAAAACAUUGCUGGGGUCUUCAACAAGUCCUGUGCCAUCUCCUACACGAGCUACAGGAACAUCUUCCCCAUCUGGGCCCUCGGCCGCUUCUCCCAGCUGUACCCUGAGAGAGCCCUUGCUGGCCACCCCUGAGAACAUGCCUACCUGCUGGGUGCCGUCUUGGCCUUCAAGUCACAGGACGCAGCGAUUCCCUGCCCUCUUCGGUGUUAUUACACAGGCAGGACUUCAGUGUCAGUAUCCCUGCCUUCAGUCUUCUUUAGAAAUCACAUCUGUGUUCAAUCCAUUGUUUAGAGGGAGUGUAUUUUUCCUGUUCCACGAAGAGGACUUUUUGUUCACAAUUGGAUCACAAUGCAGAGGAGUCUGUUCCUCCCCCGUCGGCUUCUCGGUGCUGGGAGGGUGACCUGUCCCAGAUGACUCAUCACCCUGACAUGCUCUUGACAAAGGACACCACCAAGAGGAGAUGGCAGCUGUACCGGUGCAGCCUCUGUCUGAGGGGGAUAUUUGCCUCAGUGUGAUUAAAAAUCAGUCAUGAAAGA